rnacentral:rRNA from 1 species
AAUCAACGCUGGCGGCGUGCCUAACACAUGCAAGUCGAACGAGAAAGUGACUUCGGUCACUGGACAGUGGCGUCCGGGUGAGUAACACGUGGGUAAUCUACCUUCGGGUGGGGAAUAACGUCUCGAAAGAGACGCUAAUACCGCAUAAUGCAGCGGCACCUUAUGGUGAAUAGUUGUUAAAGCGGGGGAUCGCAAGACCUCGCGCCUGAAGAGGAGCCUGCGGCAGAUAGCUUGUUGGUGAGGUAAUGGCUCACCAAGGCUGCGAUCUGUAGCUGGUCUGAGAGGACGGCCAGCCACACUGGCACUGACACACGGGCCAGACUCCUACGGGAGGCAGCA